rnacentral:lncRNA from 1 species
CGGGCGACAUGUUCGGAGCGGCGUCACCGGCGCCGUCGUGCUCGUCGUCGUCCGGCACUAUGAGCCAAUACGCGUCAGCAACGAAUCUCCGCGAUCUGUGCAACGACGAUGAGGAGGAGGAGCGAAAUCCGGACGAAGUGUUCGACGCCAUUGAAGGAGAUGAGAUGAUCGACGCCAAGGCGGAGGAAUUCAUCGCUCAAUUUUACAGAUCGAUCGACCACCAGAACUCAAUCCACCGCCAAAAUAGGGGACUAUAAGAAUCGAUCCACACACACAUGGUGUGUUGGAGGUGACAUGAUCAUUCAGUAGAAAAUGAAUGCUUGAUUUAGCACAUAAUGUACUCGCACUCAACGUAUACACGUUAGGUAUGUGCGUAUUUCGAUUAUCACUAUAUUUCACAUGAAGUAACAUGAAUAAAACUCGUAUACACAUUACAUAUAUACGUAUUCUCAUACAUAUAUACACAUUCAUUUAUUCAAUCGGUGGGAAAUAACAAAUAUUUGUGCAGUAUAAUCACCAUAUAUAUUUAGAGGUAAUCUCCUGCACACCCGGGUGUAUCGUAUAUUCGGAUUGUACCAGACUCGGAUCCUGACUCAGUUGGACUAUUCUGACCCAUUUUUUCUUGAAAUGACACUAACACUAACACUAACACGAUCUUGGAAUGACACUAAUUAACACUAUUUUAUUUUACAAAUGACACUAUUUCGAAAAUAACACUACCACUAUUUUGUUUUACAAAUGACACUCACACUAUAUUGAAAUGACACUAACACUACGUGUAAAAUGACACUAUCACUACAAGUAAAUGACACUAAUAUUUGACAUUCGGGUAGAUGGUCCAAUUGAGUUAGAUCCGGAUCAGGAUUCAGGUCAGAUACGACCCCGGUGUACCGUACACCCGGAUGUACUGGAGAUUUUGUGAUAUAUUUAUACCUUAACUAGCAUUUGCACAUAGCAUGUGAAACGUUUUAUAAAUUUAAUGGGAAAAUACUUUAUGUUGUGAUGUAAUUAUUACUUUAUGUUAUUUGUACGGUAAUAGUAUAAAAUAUUUGGGCAAAUUGCAUGAAAAUACCUCACUUUAUACCAAGAUUUGGUUUUUUGACAAUCUUUUCAAUUGUAGCAAAAAUUUGAACUACCUUUCAAUUUGUUGCAAUUGACUUCCGGAGUAAUUUUCCGGCCAACUAAAUGCUGAUGUGGAUUCCCGUAAAGUUGAUGUGGCAUGCCUCGCCGGACGACAAAUUGUAUGAAAAUACCCCACUUUAUACCAAAAUCUGGUUUUUUGACAAUUCUUUUUAAUGUAGCAAAAAUUUGAACUACCUUUCAAUUUGUUGCAAUUGACUUCUAGAGUAAUUUUCCGGCCAACUUAAUACUGAUGUGGAUUCCCGUAAAGUUGAUAGUUGGCAUGCCUCGCCGGCUAAUCAAACGACAACGUCUCUAAUUACCUUAAACGAUGUCGUUUUCCACGAUUUUAAGCAAAUUACAAUUUCUAGUUUUAUAUAUUUGUCGAUUAGGGCUUCAAAUGUCCUCAUUUCUUCUCCCAAAUUUUCUCAUCUCAGUUGAAAUUCUUGUUCCAUAAAUUCUCAUUUGCAGCAAAAAUCUUUGAACUGAUGGAUUCUUCUUCUCAAACGGGACGACUGAGCUCAUACAAUUUCCCCUUACCUCCAAAAUUCUGCAGAUGCGAAGAACCAGAGCCGUGNCUCAUUUGCAGCAAAAAUCUUUGAACUGAUGGAUUCUUCUUCUCAAACGGGACGACUGAGCUCAUACAAUUUCCCCUUAAUUACCUCCAAAAUUCUGCAGAUGCGAAGAACCAGAGCCGUGCAUCUUGCAGGCUUCAAAUAGUGUGACUAAUCCGGAGAGGCGCUACUUCUCAUCAUGUACAAAAACACCCACAUCAAGUAUCUUGUACUCUUUAAAAUAUACUUUUAUUUAAUUCAUAUGUUUUUUUUUCUUUAGAAAAUUUAUGGAACAAGAAUUUCAACUGAGAUGAGAAAAUUUGGGAGAAGAAAUGAGGACAUUUGAAGCCCUAAUCGACAAAUAUAUAAAACUAGAAAUUGUAAUUUGCUUAAAAUCGUGGAAAACGACAUCUUUUAAGGUAAUUAGAGACGUUGUCGUUUGAUUAGCCGGCGAGGCAUGCCACAUCAACUUUACGGGAAUCCACAUCAGCAUUAAGUUGGCCGAAAAAUUACUCCGGAAGUCAAUUGCAACAAAUUGAAAGGUAGUUCAAAUU